GACGAACGCUGGCGGCGUGCUUAACACAUGCAAGUCGAACGGAAAGGCCCUGCUUUUGUGGGGUGCUCGAGUGGCGAACGGGUGAGUAACACGUGAGUAACCUGCCCUUGACUUUGGGAUAACUUCAGGAAACUGGGGCUAAUACCGGAUAGGAGCUCCUGCUGCAUGGUGGGGUUGGAAAGUUUCGGCGGUUGGGGAUGGACUCGCGGCUUAUCAGCUUGUUGGUGGGGUAGUGGCGUACCAAGGCUUUGACGGGUAGCCGGCCUGAGAGGGUGACCGGCCACAUUGAGACUGAGAUACGGCCCAGACUCCUACGGGAGGCAGCAGUGGGGAAUAUUGCACAAUGGGCGGAAGCCUGAUGCAGCAACGCCGCGUGCGGGAUGACGGCCUUCGGGUUGUAAACCGCUUUCGCCUGUGACGAAGCGUGAGUGACGGUAAUGGGUAAAGAAGCACCGGCUAACUACGUG
rnacentral:rRNA from 1 species